UUUGGUGCUGAUGUAACACAUCCACAGCCCGGAGAGGAUUCUGGCCCUUCAAUAGCAGUCGUAACCAUGUGUAAGGAGGAAUGAUAAGGGAACAUUUAAUUGCUUUCAGAAGAUCUACUAGAGCCAAACCUCACCGGAUUAUAUUCUACAGAGAUGGUGUUAGUGACGGACAGUUCAGUCAAGUGAUGCUUCACGAGGUAGAUGCUAUAAGAAAGGUAUGUACUAUUAUCACUAAAUGAUUGAGGAAUAGCCUUUAGAGCAGAUAUCAAUCAUUUCACAAAAACAUGUAAUUGAUUUAACAUUACAUAUAUGCAUUGUUGUUGAUACCCAAAUCUGCCACCCAACUGAGUUUGACUUCUACCUUAACAGUCAUGCUGGAAUUCAGGGAACCAGUCGACCUACUCACUACCAUGUCUUGUUUGAUGAGAACAAUUUCCCUGCUGAUGCCGGCACCUUUCCAUUUACAUGGUCCUCAUGGUGUUUUGCGGCAUCUGAAAUACCUCAUUGAGAAAAAAGGAUUAGCAGUGGUCUGUGUUGCUAAGGGAGCAGGGCAGGUUAGUCAUAGUAUAACAUCAGUUUUUCACUAGUUGAAACAUGAUCAACUGAUUGGAACUAGUAUAUUUUUUUUCCUUCUGGAUCUAAAUAUUAUGAAACCCCUCCAAAAACAAAAUGCCAGCCAUAUGUUGAGAUUCAACUAGCUAAAAAGAAACAACAAAUUGAUGUUUAUCUUUCUAAGGAUCUAAGUUAGAAACUGUGAAGCUAUAUGAAACAGUUGGAAUGGGAAAUGGAGAGAACGAGCCAAAGCAAGAGUGAGAGUUAGAGGAUGUUAUAGUAGACAAUACUCUCCAAGUUUCUUGUUAUAGUAACUUUUCAAUAUGUUGAAUAUUUAAGAAUACUUAAAUACUUAAAGAACAUUUUGUUGUUGAUGAUAGUGUUGAAUAUUUUAAACUAAUUUGUGGAUUGUUAAUACAAUGUUGAAUGU